CCUACGGGAGGCAGCAGUGGGGAAUUUUGGACAAUGGGGGCAACCCUGAUCCAGCAAUGCCGCGUGUGUGAAGAAGGCCUUCGGGUUGUAAAGCACUUUUGUCCGGAAAGAAAACGCCGUGGUUAAUACCCGUGGCGGAUGACGGUACCGGAAGAAUAAGCACCGGCUAACUACGUGCCAGCAGCCGCGGUAAUACGUAGGGUGCAAGCGUUAAUCGGAAUUACUGGGCGUAAAGCGUGCGCAGGCGGUCCGCUAAGACAGAUGUGAAAUCCCCGGGCUUAACCUGGGAACUGCAUUUGUGACUGGCGGGCUAGAGUAUGGCAGAGGGGGGUAGAAUUCCACGUGUAGCAGUGAAAUGCGUAGAGAUGUGGAGGAAUACCGAUGGCGAAGGCAGCCCCCUGGGCCAAUACUGACGCUCAUGCACGAAAGCGUGGGGAGCAAACAGGAUUAGAUACCCUGGUAGUCCACGCCCUAAACGAUGUCAACUAGUUGUCGGGUCUUCAUUGACUUGGUAACGUAGCUAACGCGUGAAGUUGACCGCCUGGGGAGUACGGUCGCAAGAUUAAAACUCAAAGGAAUUGACGG
rnacentral:rRNA from 1 species